rnacentral:rRNA from 1 species
GCAGAAUUCCGCGAAUCAUCGAGUCUUUGAACGCAAGUUGCGCCCGANGCUUGUCCAAGGGCAUUUCCGCUAGAGCGUCACC